AACUAACUAGGAUUCCCUCAGUAGCUGCGAGCGAACAGGGAUAAGCCCAGCACCGAAUCCCGCGGCCGAUACCGGACGCCGGGAAAUGUGGUGUUCGGGAGGGUCCAUUAUCCCGAGAUCAUACGGCGCGUCCAAGUCCUUCUUGAACGGGGCCACAGCCCAGAGAGGGUGCCAGGCCCGUAGCGACUGCCGUUGAUCGCGGGAGGAUCUCUCCUCAGAGUCGGGUUGCUUGAGAGUGCAGCCCUAAGCGGGUGGUAAACUCCAUCUAAGGCUAAAUAUGACCACGAGACCGAUAGCGAACAAGUACCGUGAGGGAAAGUUGAAAAGCACUUUGAAGAGAGAGUUCAAGAGUACGUGAAACCGUUUAGGGGUAAACCUGAGAAACCCGAAAGGUCGAAGGGAGAAAUUCAUUCGCGUUUCGACGCAGGCAACGAAUGGUCGUGCGACGGAAAGCGUGUUCGCGCGUUUUCCGCACCUUCCGUUCGUCGAACCGGCGGCGAACGCGUGCACUUUUCUCCUGGUAGGACGUCGCGAUCCGUUGGGUGUCGGUCUACGGCUCGYGGUGGAGCCCGUUCGUCGUCUCAAAACGUACGAACGGACCCGCGUGUCCCGGCCGACCCGCUCGACGGUAUACGAAAGGUUUAAGGCCGCUCUCGGAGCGUUCGGCUCGCGGCAAGCGCGCCAGAUGCGUUGGCGAUCGGACCUAGUGCCGAUUCUGACCUCUGGUGACUGUUGGCCGCGAUGUUCUCGAACAGACC
rnacentral:rRNA from 1 species